rnacentral:tRNA from 3 species
GGGCCUAUAGCUCAGUUGGCAGAGCCUCCGGCUCAUAACCGGCUUGUCCCAGGUUCGAGUCCUGGUGGGCCCACCA